AGAGAAUAGAUACCCAGGUAGUCCCAGCUGUAAACGAUGCAGACUAGGUGUUUGGACGGCCACGUGCCGUUCUAGUGCCGCAGGGAAGCUGUUAAGUCUGCCGCCUGGGGAGUACGAUCGCAAGAUUGAAACUUAAAGGAAUUGGCGGGGGAGCACCACAAGGGGUGAAAGCUUGCGGUUUAAUUGGAGUCAACGCCGGAAAUCUCACCGGGAGCGACAGCAGUAUGAAAGCCAGAUUGAAGGUCUUGCUAGACGAGCUGAGAGGAGGUGCAUGGCCGUCGCCAGUUCGUGCCGUGAGGUGUCCUGUUAAGUCAGGCAACGAUCGAGACCCGCGUCCUCUGUUGCAACCAGUUUUGUGCUGGGCACACUGAGGAGACCGCCACUGAUAAAGUGGAGGAAGGAGCGGGCCACGGCAGGUCAGUAUGCCCCGAAUCUCCCGGGCCACACGCGAGCUGCAAUGGCAAGUACAAUGGGUUCCGACCUCGAAAGGGGGAGGCAAUCUCGAAAGCUUGCCGUAGUUGGAAUU
rnacentral:rRNA from 1 species